rnacentral:rRNA from 1 species
CCUACGUGAGGCAGCAGUGAGGAAUAUUGGUCAAUGGACGCAAGUCUGAACCAGCCAUGCCGCGUGCAGGAAGACGGCUCUCUGAGUUGUAAACUGUUUUUGUACGAGGGUAAAUCCCGGUACGUGUAUCGGGUUGACAGUCUCGUUCGAAUCAGGAUCGGCUAACUCCGCGCCAGCAGCCGCGGUAAUACGGAGGAGUCAAGCGUUAUCCGGAUUUAUUGGGCGGAAGGGGUGCGUAGGCGGAUCGAUAAGUUAGAGGUGAAAUCCCGGGGCUCAACUCCGGCACUGCCUCGGAUACUGGCGAGCGAGAGUGUAGGUGCGGUAGGCGGAAUGUAUGGUGUAGCGGUGAAAUGCAUAGAGAUCAUACGGAACACCGGUUGCGAAGGCAGCUUACCAAACUGCGACUGACGUUGAGGCACGAAAGCGUGGGGAGCAAACAGGAGUAGAUACCCGAGUAGUC